UUUUUGCAAAACAUCCCUCUCAUUUUGCAUUAAGGAUGCUUUAUUUUUGGGUGGAGCAAAUUAUUGUUUACAAUAUCCCACACAAGCAAACUUAAUGUAAUAGGGCCUUAGAGCAUGCAAAAAAAGCCAAAAUUUCUGAUGCAAUUCAAAAAGACUGUAUGCACUAGCAUGAGAAACAAGACUACAAUAAACAAGCAAACCAUGAGUUAUUUACAGUUCCUU
rnacentral:lncRNA from 1 species